UAUAGAUUCUAAAAAGAAGUGGAAAAGCUUUGUAUCGUGUCUAUACUUUACGUUCUAAUAAUAAUAUGGCGAUGGCGUGUUUAUUUUUUUCUGUCAGUCAGUGGACAGUUUUUGUUUUAUUCGAGUUCAAUGUAAAUAAUUAGAUCGAGCAGAAAUGUUUGGAAAUUCAACACGAUGUUCAUCGUGUAAGUUAUAUACUUAGUGGUCACAAGA